rnacentral:hammerhead_ribozyme from 1 species
ACCCAGUUGAUGAGUCCAAGUAGGACGAAACGCGCGUCCAGGAU